rnacentral:rRNA from 1 species
UACGUAGGGGGCAAGCGUUGUCCGGAUUUAUUGGGCGUAAAGAGCGUGUAGGCGGCCAGACAGGUCCGUUGUGAAAACUAGAGGCUUAACCUCUAGACGUCGAUGGAAACCGUCUGGCUAGAGUCCGGAAGAGGAGAAUGGAAUUCCUGGUGUAGCAGUGAUAUGCGUAGAUAUCGGGAAGAACACCAAUGGCGAAAGCAGUCGUGCUGGGCUUGCCCUGACACUGAGACACGAAAGCGUGGGGAGCGAACGGG